UGACAGGGCGGGCGGAGGCGGCCGGGGCGGGCUGGGGGGCGCACGCCCCGCCUCGGGGUGCUGGACAGCUCCGCGCACGCGGCUCUGAUCGGGUCCCGUUAGCGCUGAACCUUGGCCCAGCGGUUAGGGCUGGCACUGCGCCCAAGGUCCCCGGCAGAGCCUGGCCCCUUGAUCCCAAGAUCUCUUCUCUCUACCGAAGCCGGGACGCCAGGCGACUGUGCCAGGGAAGAGAGGGAGACCGAGGCUCAAUAGAAGGUCGGGUGGCACGGAAAGGGCUCCUGGGGACCAAGACAAUGAGUUGGAGGCUCUAGACAGAAGCCUGGCCUCUUCCUAAUGCCAUACAUUCCUGGGUGGUUUGAUUUGAGCAUCCCCUCCUGCACUCCCUCGGCCCUCCUCAUUCACCUCAUCCUGUCUCCAAAGCGGCUCACUUGUGAAGGGGACACCGUGAGGGGACACUGGCGAGAACCCCAGAAGUCCUCUGGAGAGCCACUUUCGUCCCUGGCCGGCUCCGUAACCCCCUCAUCUUCCAAGGAACUGCGAUGGAGCCUCGGUCUUCCGGAGCAGAGUUGGGGGUCACCGUAUGAGGCACCCGGGCCAUGUUCAUGUGCAAGAACACCCAUAGCCAGGAAGGGGCUAUCCGCUGACUCUGAGGUUCACGGGCCGGCCAGGAGGAGCUCCCUGGAUAUAGAGAGGAACCGGAGAGAUGGUUCAGAACUUGCUGCUUUUGUGGAGAACCAGGUUCGGAGGAUCUGAUGCCCUCUUCUGGCCUCCUUGGGCACUGCAUGCAUAUGGUGCACAUACAUGCAGGCAGGCAAACACUCAUACCCACAAACUAAAAAGGAGCGCAUCUUUUCAAAAGUUAACUUACUGGAGAAGCGUCUCAGUAGUUGAGAGCACUGUUGAUCUUCCAGAAGACCCAAAUUCGGUUCCCAGCAUCCAUAUCAAGUGGCUUACAACCAUCUGUAACUCCAGCUCCAGGGCUCUAAUGCCUCUGGCCUUCCCAAGCACCUCCAUUCACAGGCACGUGUCCACAUGCACACACAUACACAUGAUUAAAAAUAAUAAGAAUAAAUUUUAAAGAGUCGGUCACAUUACUAGCAACCCCCAACACCAUCUAUCCCCAGAACUUUCCCCAUCUCUUUUCACUUCUCUGAAGCAGUCAAACCUUAACCCACACUUCCCUUUAGGCCCUGGCAAGCACCAUCUCUGUCUCAUCUAACUGGAAUCAUAUAGUAUCUGUUCCUCUGGGGCUGGCCCAAUUGCUGUUGAAAAUGCUCAUAAGCAUAUUAUUUGCAGCAAUGGACUCGCAGUCAGCAGUUCCGCCUUCCCAUACAAAGAUCUGCUCCUCUGCUUUUAGCUUCUGCCCUGCACAGAAGGCAGGGCAGUCUCGGACCUAACCGGCCCUAGAGGCUUCCUUUCCAGACAGAAACCCCGCCUUUCAGUGUUGUGAACAUCGCCAGGUUGUUCCGACAGGAUGGGGUUGUUCCAGCUUCCUCCCUGGACGCCCAAAGCAUUCUGACCUUCUUGGUGACGGCAGGAUUGGCUUGUCUUCGUUUAACGGCAGCACCGCUCAGCGAUUCUUAAAGCCCAGUUGCAGACCGAUGCAAUGAAACAAGCAUCUCGAUAAAGCAAAUCACGCAGAGUUUUUGGCACGAGGCUGCACCAACAUCCAUUGGCAAGGACGAUGGAUGUUUAAAACCCAGUGUGCGUGCCUCAAUCAAACCUCACUUUAUUGCCAGGGACCGUAUGAGCUGCUGGGAACGAGGCCCUAAUAAGCUUCCUCUGUGCAGGGUUGUGCAGACCUUCAACCUGGGGAGAGCACGGCUCUCUACGGAGCACAUAUUUCCAUUUGCCUUUCUCAGUUGUGUAGCCCUACCUGGGAUGAUUUACUUGGAGGGAAACAAGCCUUCAGAAAUAGGGAGAGAGCAGAGCACAGUGGCACGCACCUGCCUUUAACCCCAGUAUUUGGGAGGCCGAAGCAGGUGGAUCUGUGUGAGUCUGAGGCCAGCCUGGUCUACAGAGAGAGUUCCCUGGCAGCCUGGUCUGUGCAGCAGGACGGUGCCUCGCAAACAAAGAAAGCAGCACCAAACCCCCACAGGAACAGAAAGACAUUGCCUCUCUGGGUGUCUCGGGACCGCACGCUUGUGCCACAUGCUUGUCAACACACAACUGACUCCCUCAGCAAAGGGCUUCCAGGCUAUUUCAUUGUUUUUCAAUUAGUGAAUCAUUAAUACCUUAGCAGCCAAAAUAAUUGUGCCAAAAAGCUUCUUGGUGUCCUUCCAGCUCCUAAAUCUAAAAUAACAACCAAAAAAAAAAGUAAGGUAACCCUCACUGCAGACACAGAUUCCCAUUCCCUGAAGCAGCUAAUGCCAAGCCCUUUAGCAUUGUCCCUGGCACUGAGUGCAGACUGAGGUCAUCACGUCUACCCAGCAAAACUGGACUUCCUUCCUCCACGCUUGAAUCCUGUACCUUUCACGAAAGAAGUUAUGUUUGAAAACAAAACAAAACAACAGAAAACAAGGGAGUAAGCCAGGCAUGGUGGCUCACUCCAUCAACCCCAGCUUCUGGAGGCAGGAGCAGGGAGAUCUCGUGUGAGUGCAAAACCAGCCUGUCCUACACAACAGUCAGGCCUUCACAGAGAGACCUCGUUUCAAAGGAAAUGAAGAGAGGGUGAUUGUGCCUGUUGUGUGACCAUUUCCUCCAAGAUGGUAACAUUGCAUUCUACAGACAAGUUCCUUAAGUAGAGAGGUAAACAACUCAAAUGACUUCAGGAAGUCCCUGAAGCUGACCAAAUUCACUACCCUUGCCCCCUGUCCCCCUUACCAAGAGUUAACAAGCCAAGCUACAAAGAAGACUCUAAGACCAGAUCAGCUGCCGGGAAGAAACAAAAACCAGUCCGACAGCCUGGAAGAGUGUCAGACCAACGGAGCCACCUGGAAAGGGCACUCCCCAACCUGAUCUGCCUGCAGGCUGUGCAGUGAGCUCCAGGUUCCCAGCUUGGGGUGGGCUCUGAUGAUGCAGAUGUUUUUUAAGUCAUUUCUGCUCCUGUAAGUAACCCCUCACCCAUAUUCCCGCAAGUAACUCCAAUAAAACUCAUUUUGU